rnacentral:rRNA from 1 species
GACGAACGCUGGCGGCGUGCUUAACACAUGCAAGUCGAACGGAAAGGCCUGUCCUUCCUUGUGUUGGCCGGGGACUCGAGUGGCGAACGGGCGAGUAACACGUGAGUGAUCUGCCCCCAACUCGGGUAUAAGCCUGGGAAACUGGGUCUAAUUCCCGAUAGGACUGCAGGGUGGUGUCGGUAGUGGAAAACGAUUUUCUAGUGGUUGGGGAUGAGCUCGCGGCGUAUCAGCUUGUUGGUGGGGUAAUGGCCUACCAAGGCGGGGACGGGUAGCCGGCCUGGGAUAGUGGGCCGGCACAGUGGGACUGCGACACGGCGCAUGCGCCUACGGGCGGCAGCAGUGGGGAGUCAUGAGCGGUGGACGGAACCCUGAUGCCGCGACGCCGAGUGGGGGAUGACGGGCUUCGGGUUGUAGCCUCCUUGCGAUCGCGAGGAAGCCGCCUGGUUGGAAGGGUGGUGACGGUAGUGGUAGAAGAAGCACCGGCUAACUACGUG